rnacentral:rRNA from 1 species
GACGAACGCUGGCGGCGUGCUUAACACAUGCAAGUCGAACGAAGUGGCGAACGGGUGAGUAAUACGUGGGUAACCUGCCCUCCUUUUUGGGAUAAGCCUUUGAAACGGGGUCUAAUACCGAAUAUAGGGGGAUGGGCUCGCGGCCUAUCAGCUUGUUGGUGGGGAGAGGGCCUACCAAGGCGGUGACGGGUAGCCGGCAUGAGAGGGUGACCGGGAACAUUGGGACGGAGAUACGGCCCAGACUCCUAAGGGAGGGAGCAGUGGGGGAUAUUGCACAAUGGGUGAAAGACUGAUGCAGCGACGCCGCGUGGGGGAUGAAGGCUUUCGGGUUGUAAACCUCGGUAGCAAUGGAACGGGUAGGUGGAGAAGAAGCGCCGGCUAACUACGUGCCAGCAGCCGCGGUAAUAC